GUUGAUUCAAGUGAGAAGCUGUUUCCUCACAAAAGCAGUUUAUUCAGUGUACCAAAGCUGCUUGAAAUGGAAAACCUUGGAAGCUUGUCUUAAAGUGGCUCUGUUCAAAAACUAAAAUGUCCGUUUAUGUGAGGGAGGGGCUAUUUGUACAGUAGGAGACUAAGGAGGUGGUUAUAGUGAGAAACCUGGCUUGAUCCUCCUCCUUAUAGUGUGGAAUGAUUCAGUGUCACUUUGUUUAACUAGUGUGAAGUUUUUGCCCAUGUAAAUGUGAUCCAGUGUUUCCAGUGGCAGGCUUUAUAGACAGACAGAUUGAGAGAGACUCUUGAAGGACCAGCACCACAUCUUCUUGUACCACUGUUUGAAGAAUUUAUCUUCCAGAAUCUGGCAAUGGAGUUCCCAUUGACAUGCAUUAUACGACUGACAGACUGCAACGGUUGGAGUUAAAAAUCAUCAUUUGUGUUCUACUGAAGAAACAAAGUCACCUACAUCUUGGAUGCCCUGGGGGUAAGCAGAUAAACAUCAAAUUUUCAUUUUUGGGUGAACUAUCCUUUUAAAUGCUGAAUUAAGCUCUCUUUCACAUCUUCUUGCGCUUGAAUGGACAAUUUCACACAAAAUUAUGUCAAAAUGCCCAUCUUGGUGAGGAUCCUCUAUAGUCGGUUAUAUCUUAAGUGAACGUAAACAAUCUAGAAUUAAAACACAUGUGUACAGUAUCUGUAUAUCGGAUCCGUGCAUUAGUCUUACAAUGACAGCAGCCUUAUAUUCCUGCUGUCUGUCUGUGUUUUUAAUGUUAAUUAAACAACAAACUCGCUGCAAAAAAAAAAAAAAAAAAAAAAAAAAAUCACUCAAUGCUCGACAGAAUAAUUUUUAUAACUUUACUAAGGAUUCAUCUAUAUUUAACCCUUCUGCGUCCUUAAGGACAUUUUUGUCUUUUGCUUGUUUGUUUUUUUGUUUUUGAUAAUUUUGCCUGUGUUAAUGCCAAAAGCAUAAAUUUUGGCACAAGUGUGUAUUUUAUUAUUAGAAUUUUAAUAUUUCACACUCGUUUCCUUUAAUAAUCUAUUUUACACUAGGUACACAAAAUAGUUACACUCAGGACCUUAAGGACAAAAAUGUCCCCAUUAAAACUGGAAUUUUUAAUCCUAUGGCCAUUUAACUAUAAAAUGAUACAGUUUUUGUUAAAAGGUUUUCAUUCUGUUGGCAAGACUUCAAAAUUAAAAUAUUUACUAUUUUUACCAUUUUCUUAGGUUUGUCCUAUAAAGCAAAUAUUCACUUUUUCCUGUUUUUUAUUUUCCACUUUAUUAACCAAAUGUUUUUGCUGCUGACCUUUGAUGAUCCAAUUUAACCAUACUAAUAAACAAAAAAAUUACUUUAGAUAAACAUCACAUUUCUGUUUCUUUCUUUUUGUUUGUUUGUUUUUAUUGCUGAAGUAAGAGUUGAACUUUUUUCCUCUGCAUCCUAUUUUCACGCACUAAUUUUGUACUUAAAAUACUAAAAAUUCUUCUUUAGUACUUCUUAAGAUAAUCCUAAGAAGAUCUAAGUGUACACAACUGUGCUA